GAUGAACGCUGGCGGCGUGCCUAAUACAUGCAAGUCGAGCGAACGGACGAGAAGCUUGCUUCUCUGAUGUUAGCGGCGGACGGGUGAGUAACACGUGGAUAACCUACCUAUAAGACUGGGAUAACUUCGGGAAACCGGAGCUAAUACCGGAUAAUAUUUUGAACCGCAUGGUUCAAAAGUGAAAGACGGUCUUGCUGUCACUUAUAGAUGGAUCCGCGCUGCAUUAGCUAGUUGGUAAGGUAACGGCUUACCAAGGCAACGAUGCAUAGCCGACCUGAGAGGGUGAUCGGCCACACUGGAACUGAGACACGGUCCAGACUCCUACGGGAGGCAGCAGUAGGGAAGCUUCCGCAAAGGGCGAAAGCCUGACGGAGCAACGCCGCGUGAGUGAUGAAGGUCUUCGGAUCGUAAAACUCUGUUAGUAGGGAAGAACAUAUGUGUAAGUAACUGUGCACAUCUUGACGGUACCUAAUCAGAAAGCCACGGCUAACUACGUG
rnacentral:rRNA from 1 species